AGAGUUUGAUCCUGGCUCAGGAUGAACGCUGGCGGCGUGCUUAACACAUGCAAGUCGAACGGAACACCCUUGAAGGAGUUUUCGGACAACUGAAAGGACUGUUUAGUGGCGGACGGGUGAGUAACGCGUGAGUAACCUGCCUUGGAGUGGGGAAUAACAGUUGGAAACAGCUGCUAAUACCGCAUAAUGCAGUUGAGUCGCAUGGCUCUGACUGCCAAAGAUUUAUCGCUCUGAGAUGGACUCGCGUCUGAUUAGCUAGUUGGUGGGGCAACGGCCCACCAAGGCGACGAUCAGUAGCCGGACUGAGAGGUUGGCCGGCCACAUUGGGACUGAGACACGGCCCAGACUCCUACGGGAGGCAGCAGUGGGGAAUAUUGGGCAAUGGGCGCAAGCCUGACCCAGCAACGCCGCGUGAAGGAAGAAGGCUUUCGGGUUGUAAACUUCUUUUCUCAGGGACGAAGAAAGUGACGGUACCUGAGGAAUAAGCCACGGCUAACUACGUGCCAGCAGCCGCGGUAAUACGUAGGUGGCAAGCGUUAUCCGGAUUUACUGGGUGUAAAGGGCGUGUAGGCGGGAAAGCAAGUCAGAUGUGAAAACCAUGGGCUCAACCUGUGGCCUGCAUUUGAAACUGUUUUUCUUGAGUACUGGAGAGGCAGACGGAAUUCCUCGUGUAGCGGUGAAAUGCGUAGAUAUGAGGAGGAACACCAGUGGCGAAGGCGGUCUGCUGGACAGCAACUGACGCUGAGGCGCGAAAGCGUGGGGAGCAAACAGGAUUAGAUACCCUGGUAGUCCACGCUGUAAACGAUGGAUACUAGGUGUGGGGGGACUGACCCCCUCCGUGCCGCAGUUAACACAAUAAGUAUCCCACCUGGGGAGUACGAUCGCAAGGUUGAAACUCAAAGGAAUUGACGGGGGCCCGCACAAGCGGUGGAGUAUGUGGUUUAAUUCGAAGCAACGCGAAGAACCUUACCAGGGCUUGACAUCCCGGUGACCGGCAUAGAGAUAUGCUUUUCUCUUCGGAGACACCGGUGACAGGUGGUGCAUGGUUGUCGUCAGCUCGUGUCGUGAGAUGUUGGGUUAAGUCCCGCAACGAGCGCAACCCUUAUUGUUAGUUGCUACGCAAGAGCACUCUAGCGAGACUGCCGUUGACAAAACGGAGGAAGGUGGGGACGACGUCAAAUCAUCAUGCCCCUUAUGUCCUGGGCCACACACGUACUACAAUGGUGGUCAACAGAGGGAAGCAAAACCGCGAGGUGGAGCAAAUCCCUAAAAGCCAUCCCAGUUCGGAUCGCAGGCUGCAACCCGCCUGCGUGAAGUUGGAAUCGCUAGUAAUCGCGGAUCAGCAUGCCGCGGUGAAUACGUUCCCGGGCCUUGUACACACCGCCCGUCACACCAUGAGAGUCGGGAACACCCGAAGUCCGUAGCCUAACCGCAAGGGGGGCGCGGCCGAAGGUGGGUUCGAUAAUUGGGGUGAAGUCGUAACAAGGUAACC
rnacentral:rRNA from 1 species